GACGAACGCUGGCGGCGUGCUUAACACAUGCAAGUCGAACGGAAAGGCCCCUUUGGGGGUCCUCGAGUGGCGAACGGGUGAGUAACACGUGAGUAACCUGCCCUUGACUUCGGGAUAACUUCAGGAAACUGGGGCUAAUACCGGAUAGGAAUCCUUGCUGCAUGGUGGGGGUUGGAAAGCUUCGGCGGUUUUGGAUGGACUCGCGGCUUAUCAGCUUGUUGGUGGGGUAGUGGCUUACCAAGACUUUGACGGGUAGCCGGCCUGAGAGGGCGACCGGCCACAUUGGGACUGAGAUACGGCCCAGACUCCUACGGGAGGCAGCAGUGGGGAAUAUUGCACAAUGGGCGGAAGCCUGAUGCAGCAACGCCGCGGGCGGGAUGACGGCCUUCGGGUUGUAAACCGAUUUCAGCAGGGGCGAAGCUUGUGGUGACGGUACCUGCAGAAGAAGCACCGGCUAACUACGUG
rnacentral:rRNA from 1 species